GUUCCCGCAUCCAGGUGCCUCCAUGGAGGUUUCUGAUUUAGUCACCUGUGCUUGGUCAUUGGCAUCCAUGUGUUUCUGAAGGCCCCCAGACUUAUUCUGCUCUGCAGAACCAAGACAUGCUGACCUCUGCUGAACCAUUCUCACCCAGAGAAGCUGGAGAAACAAGCCCUGGGGGGCAUCCUGGUGGGCUUUGUGAUGCUAAUACAUCACAGGCAGAAGGAAAACAAGAGGAAACAGAAUUUAGGAAACAAAAAGUGAAGAAAAUUCAUGGGAAAAAAUCAGGAAAGUUAAACAUGGUUGGACUAAGAGAAACUGAGUAUGUUGCUGCACUGACUUCUCUGUUUGCCUUCUCUUCUGGGAAGCCUUCCCUGGUUACCUCAUUUGAAAGCACCAACUUCUGAUUCAUCACUGUAACUGCUUCCAUUGCUUGCUUAAUUCCCUCCUGUCCUCUUAGCAUUGUGUUGCUGGGGAGUCUCCCUGGAGAAGAAGAUAAACGACAGUAUGGUGGGAAGUGUAUCCUGUUCAUGGCUCUCUCCAGAGUCUAUGGAAGAGCCUGGAACAGAGCAAUUCAAGGAGAGGAGGAGAGAAUAGCAGGUACACGCCCCAAACCUCGUCUGCAGAUUCAUCUCUACCAACGAACUGGCCUUGUUUUCCAUAGCUUAAGAAACAAAAAAAAGCAUAAAAACCCACUGUUUCACUAAAAACACACCUUUUAUUUAAAAAUGCUGCAAGUUGUGAACUAUUUUAGUAAUUGCCAGUGAUCAAGGCUUAGAUAGAAAGUAUGGCUUCAAGGUGUCCCAGUACUUUCAGGAGAAAAGCCAUUUCCUCAUUCUGGUGAUGUCUCUGCAAUAUGCAUUUGCAUGCCCUCAGUUAUUCAAAACAAGGGGAGGCCAGCUCUGGAAAUUCCCUGAGUAACUCCAGUUCAGUCAUAUGAGCAAAAGUUUAAUUUAGCUCAUUUUGCAAGGCUAACUUAACCUGGGUCAUUUCUUGUUUAUGCCUCUGGAAAUCACAAGCUGCACUUGAACUGUUCCCCAAAGUGGAUAUGAGGAAAUCACUGACCAGUUUCCUAUCAUUUCUGAAAAUUCUAGCAGUAUAACCAAUCCUUCUGAAGAGUAAACAGUCACUGCCUUCUCACAAUGGAAGCUGCUUUAUAACACUAAACCCGAGCUUCAUGCCAUAUCUGGUUUGAGUGCUCUGGUUUUCAAAUGGUCUUCUUGGUGUGUGAAUAAUAAACUUUACU